rnacentral:rRNA from 1 species
GUUCGGAUUGUAGUCUGNAACCCGACUACAUGAAGCUGGAAUCGCUAGUAAUCNCGGAUCAGAAUGCCGCGGUGAAUACGUUCCCGGGUCUUGUACACACCGCCCGUCACACCAUGGGAGUCGGAAAUGCCCGAAGUCUGUGACCCAACCAUUAAGGAGGGAGCAGCCGAAGGCAGGUCGGAUGACUGGGGUGAAGUCGUAACAAGGUAUC